GCGACCCCAGGUCAGGCGGGACUACCCGCUGAGUUUAAGCAUAUCAAUAAGCGGAGGAAAAGAAACUUACCAGGAUUCCCCUAGUAACGGCGAGCGAACCGGGAACAGCCCAGCUUGAAAAUCGGCCGUCUUCGGCGGCCGA
rnacentral:rRNA from 1 species